AGAGGCAUGAACUAAUCGGUCUGUCAUCUUAUAGGAAGUAGAGGGGUUUGUCAGAAGAACUGUAGUUCAGAGAUCGUUGGCAGGACAGAAUGGAACACACCUUGCUCUGUGUGCUACUCUUGCUGAGUACACUCAUCAACUCUGGACACUCUGAAGAUGAUGAUGCUCUGCCCAAAGCUACACUGACUGUAAAGUCAAACCCUGCAUACACUGGAGAGACAGUUACUCUGACGUGUUCAGUAGGGUCUGACAGUAGCUGGAGCUAUCAGUGGUUCAAAGACAGGAAUGAUAAUGUAGUAUCCCAGUCUGGUUACAGUAACAUUGGAGUCUCUCACACCAUCAGUAGAGCUGGUGUGUCUGACCAGGGUCAGUACUGGUGUGAAGGGAACACAGUGUCUAGACCCACAUCUUCACUACCAAGUGAUCUUGUCACUCUCACUGUAAAAGGUGAAUUACUUUGUUGUGUUUUUUUGUCAUAAAGAUGGACACUAUUGAUAUUGAAUCAAUCAUGGGCUGUGUGUCAGUAUUCUUAGUUAUAACAGCAAAAAUACAGGGAACUUCCAAAAUAAAGAAAGAACCAACAUAAAUUGUUUUAAUAGGGCGUUGGGCCUUUAGCCAGAACAGCUUCAAUGGCAUAGAUUCUAAGUGUCUGUGGUGUUUUGUUGAUGGUGGUGGAAAACACUGUCUCAGGCAACACUCCACAAUCUAACAUAAGUGGUCAAUUGGGUUGAGAUCUGGAGACUGAGACGGCCAUGGAAUAUGAUUUACAUC